rnacentral:lncRNA from 1 species
CCAGUAGAGAGAACACCACAGAAUAUAUAUUUCUAUUUUUAUUUUAUUUUUUGAGACCAAGGAUGUUGAUUUUAGGAGAUUUAUAAAUUGAAUAUAUUCCUACUAAAAUUCAAAUCAAGUUUUUUGAGGUUCACAAAUUGAUAUAAUAUGUAUAAGGUAGAACAAAGAACCAAGAAUGCCAGAACAUUUUUUUUUUUUUUGGAUACACAGUCUUGCUCUGUCACCCAGUCUGGAGUGCAGUGGCACAAUCUCGGCUCACUGCAGCGUGGACCUCCUGGGCUUAAGCGAUCCUCCUGCCUCAGCCUCCUGAGUAGCUGGGACCACAGGUGCAAGCCACCAUGCCCGGCUAUUUUCUGUAUUUGUUAUUUUUUUGCAUUUUUAGUAAA